CAAGUAUGCCCUCCGUUCGGAAUUACUUAUCGCAUAAAUGGAUGUAUCUAGAUGUAUUUUAGUUCUAGAUACAUCCAUAUUCGAGACAAGUAAUUCCGAACGGAGGGAGUACUUU
rfam:Triticum urartu cultivar G1812 contig491978, whole genome shotgun sequence.